AUUGAACACUGGCGGCAGGCUUAACACAUGCAAGUCGAGCGGAGUGAUGGUGCUUGCACUAUCACUUAGCGGCGGACGGGUGAGUAAUGCUUAGGAAUCUGCCUAUUAGUGGGGGACAACAUCUCGAAAGGGAUGCUAAUACCGCAUACGUCCUACGGGAGAAAGCAGGGGAUCACUUGUGACCUUGCGCUAAUAGAUGAGCCUAAGUCGGAUUAGCUAGUUGGUGGGGUAAAGGCCUACCAAGGCGACGAUCUGUAGCGGGUCUGAGAGGAUGAUCCGCCACACUGGGACUGAGACACGGCCCAGACUCCUACGGGAGGCAGCAGUGGGGAAUAUUGGACAAUGGGGGGAACCCUGAUCUAGCCAUGCCGCGUGUGUGAAGAAGGCCUUAUGGUUGUAAAGCACUUUAAGCGAGGAGGAGGCUCUUUUGGUUAAUACCCAAGAUGAGUGGACGUUACUCGCAGAAUAAGCACCGGCUAACUCUGUGCCAGCCGCCGCGGUAA
rnacentral:rRNA from 1 species